UUCAGUAACAGAAAGUUCCUAUGAGAUGACCAAUGUUUGAGAGCAUAUUCAUCCUUUGCCACUACAGGCUGACUAUUGCUUCUUAUCUGCUUUCUGAAGAAUGAAGAAAGUUAAAUCAGUGGCUUAAGACAUACCUUCCAAAUCUAUGACUUUGUGAUUCUAUGACCUGGAAAAUCUGACCAAAAAUUGAACAUUGGAUCAGAACUACCAUAUGACGCCACAUUGGAGGCUUUUAUCCACAUUGGAUUCUAUCUUCGGCUGAAGUUACCCCAAGAGAAAAAUGGUGUUUUGCAUCAUCGACAGAAGAUGGAACAGCCUCUCUGAAGCAACAGAUGACCCCUUAGAGUGGAUGUGUGAUACACCCAUCCCUGGCUCUCAAGGGUUCCUGAACCUCUCCUCUGUGCUGGAAAUCUACUUGAGUUCUUUCUUGUGA
rnacentral:lncRNA from 1 species